rnacentral:rRNA from 1 species
UACGUAGGGGGCAAGCGUUGUCCGGAUUUAUUGGGCGUAAAGCGCUCGCAGGUGGUUUGUCGCGUCGUGCGUGAAAGACCCCGGCUCAACUGGGGAGGGUCGUGCGAUACGGGCGAACUGGAGGCCAGUAGGGGGAUGCGGAAUUCCGGGUGUAGCGGUGGAAUGCGUAGAGAUCCGGAAGAACACCGGUGGCGAAGGCGGCCCGCUGGGCAGGAAGGGGUGGGUAACCAUCCGGCUGACACUGAGGCGCGCAGCGUGGGGAGC